CCGGACCUGACUGCUAUCGGAUUGAUACUAAGCCAUGCGAGUCAUUGUAGCAAUACAAGGCAGACGGCUCAGUAACGCGUAGUCAAUCUACCCUAUGGACGGGAAUAACCUCGGGAAACUGAGAAUAAUGCCCGAUAGAACAUUAUGCCUGGAAUGGUUUAUGUUUCAAAUGAUUUAUCGCCAUAGGAUGGGACUGCGGCCUAUCAGUUUGUUGGUGAGGUAAUGGCCCACCAAGACUAUUACAGGUACGGGCUCUGAGAGGAGUGGCCCGGAGAUGGGGACUGAGACACGGACCCAGGCCCUAUGGGGCGCAGCAGGCGAGAAAACUUUGCAAUGUGCGAAAGCACGACAAGGUUAGUCCGAGUGGUUUCUGCUAAAGAAACCUUUUGUCAGUCCUAGAAACACUAACGAAUAAGGGGUGGGCAAGUUCUGGUGUCAGCCGCCGCGGUAAAACCAGCACCUCAAGUGGUCAGGAUGAUUAUUGGGCCUAAAGCAUCCGUAGCUCGUUUUGUAAGUUUUCGGUUAAAUCCAUGCGCUUAACGUAUGGGCUGCCGGGGAAUACUGCAUAACUAGGAAGUGGGAGAGGUAGACGGUACUCGGUAGGAAGGGGUAAAAUCCUUUGAUCUAUUGAUGACCACCUGUGGCGAAGGCGGUCUACCAGAACACGUUCGACGGUGAGGGAUGAAAGCUGGGGGAGCAAACCGGAUUAGAUACCCGGGUAGUCCCAGCUGUAAACUAUGCAAACUCAGUGAUGCAUUGGCUUGUGGCCAAUGCAGUGCUGCAGGGAAGCCGUUAAGUUUGCCGCCUGGGAAGUACGUACGCAAGUAUGAAACUUAAAGGAAUUGGCGGGGGAGCACCACAAGGGGUGAAGCCUGCGGUUCAAUGGAGUCACGCCGG
rnacentral:rRNA from 1 species